rnacentral:ncRNA from 1 species
AAUAGAGGCGCGGUGAACAAGAGUAGCGUUCCGGAGCAACGCCCGGCGAUGAAGGACGCGAAAGGGGAAACCGCCGAAAUGCGCAGGCGCCGGGCAGGCGGCGCGCGUUGGCUGCAGGAACAAUAUUUCUGCGGCUGUCAUGGUUAGGCCAUGGAGCGCUAUUC